CGCUCCAACAGUUCAUGCGGUCUAUAAUGCAGUCGUCGAACUCUGGUAUUGAUUGGUGCUUGCAUCAUGAUUUACAUUUGAGUGAGUGGCGAACUGGUGAGUAACACGUGGGAAACCUGCCCAGAAGCGGGGGAUAACACCUGGAAACAGAUGCUAAUACCGCAUAACAACUUGGACCGCAUGGUCCGAGUUUGAAAGAUGGCUUCGGCUAUCACUUUUGGAUGGUCCCGCGGCGUAUUAGCUAGAUGGUGGGGUAACGGCUCACCAUGGCAAUGAUACGUAGCCGACCUGAGAGGGUAAUCGGCCACAUUGGGACUGAGACACGGCCCAAACUCCUACGGGAGGCAGCAGUAGGGAAUCUUCCACAAUGGACGAAAGUCUGAUGGAGCAACGCCGCGUGAGUGAAGAAGGGUUUCGGCUCGUAAAACUCUGUUGUUAAAGAAGAACAUAUCUGAGAGUAACUGUUCAGGUAUUGACGGUAUUUAACCAGAAAGCCACGGCUAAACUACGUGCCAGCAGCCGCGGUAAUACGUAGGUGGCAAGCGUUUGUCCGGAUUUAUUGGGCGUAAAGCGAGCGCAGGCGGUUUUUUAAGUCUGAUGGUGAAAGCCUUCGGCUCAACCCAAAAAA
rnacentral:rRNA from 1 species